GAUGAACGCUGGCGGCGUGCCUAAUACAUGCAAGUCGAGCGAACAGACGAGGAGCUUGCUCCUCUGACGUUAGCGGCGGACGGGUGAGUAACACGUGGAUAACCUACCUAUAAGACUGGGAUAACUUCGGGAAACCGGAGCUAAUACCGGAUAAUAUAUUGAACCGCAUGGUUCAAUAGUGAAAGACGGUUUUGCUGUCACUUAUAGAUGGAUCCGCGCCGCAUUAGCUAGUUGGUAAGGUAACGGCUUACCAAGGCAACGAUGCGUAGCCGACCUGAGAGGGAGAUCGGCCACACUGGAACUGAGACACGGUCCAGACUCCUACGGGAGGCAGCAGUAGGGAAUCUUCCGCAAUGGGCGAAAGCUUGACGGAGCAACGCCGCGUGAGUGAUGAAGGUCUUCGGAUCGUAAAACUCUGUUAUUAGGGAAGAACAAAUGUGUAAGUAACUAUGCACGUCUUGACGGUACCUAAUCAGAAAGCCACGGCUAACUACGUG
rnacentral:rRNA from 1 species